GUGCUCACUUUGGCAGCACAUAUACUAAAAUUGGAACAAUACAGAGAAGACUAGAAUGGCUCCUACACAAGGAUGACACACAAAUUUGUGAAGCAUUCCAUACUUUU
rnacentral:snRNA from 1 species